CCUACGGGGGGCAGCAGUGAGGAGUAUUGGUCAAUGGGCGCGAGCCUGAACCAGCCAAGUAGCGUGAAGGAUGACUGCCCUACGGGUUGUAAACUUCUUUUAUAAAGGAAUAAAGUGAGGCACGUGUGCCUUUUUGUAUGUACUUUAUGAAUAAGGAUCGGCUAACUCCGUGCCAGCAGCCGCGGUAAUACGGAGGAUCCGAGCGUUAUCCGGAUUUAUUGGGUUUAAAGGGAGCGUAGAUGGGUUGUUAAGUCAGUUGUGAAAGUGUGCGGCUCAACCGUAAAAUUGCAGUUGAUACUGGCAGCCUUGAGUACAGGUGAGGUAGGCGGAAUUCGUGGUGUAGCGGUGAAAUGCUUAGAUAUCACGAAGAACUCCGAUUGCGAAGGCAGCUUACUAGACUGCCACUGACAUUGAUGCUCGAAAGUGUGGGUAUCAAACAGGAUUAGAUACCCCGGUAGUC
rnacentral:rRNA from 1 species